rnacentral:rRNA from 1 species
CUGGGACAAGCCCUGGAAACGGGGUCUAAUACCGGAUAACACUCUGUCCCGCAUGGGACGGGGUUGAAAGCUCCGGCGGUGAAGGAUGAGCCCGCGGCCUAUCAGCUUGUUGGUGGGGUAAUGGCCUACCAAGGCGACGACGGGUAGCCGGCCUGAGAGGGCGACCGGCCACACUGGGACUGAGACACGGCCCAGACUCCUACGGGAGGCAGCAGUGGGGAAUAUUGCACAAUGGGCGAAAGCCUGAUGCAGCGACGCCGCGUGAGGGAUGACGGCCUUCGGGUUGUAAACCUCUUUCAGCAGGGAAGAAGCGAAAGUGACGGUACCUGCAGAAGAAGCGCCGGCUAACUACGUGCCAGCAGCCGCGGUAAUACGUAGGGCGCAAGCGUUGUCCGGAAUUAUUGGGCGUAAAGAGCUCGUAGGCGGCUUGUCACGUCGGAUGUGAAAGCCCGGGGCUUAACCCCGGGUCUGCAUUCGAUACGGGCUAGCUAGAGUGUGGUAGGGGAGAUCGGAAUUCCUGGUGUAGCGGUGAAAUGCGCAGAUAUCAGGAGGAACACCGGUGGCGAAGGCGGAUCUCUGGGCCAUUACUGACGCUGAGGAGCGAAAGCGUGGGGAGCGAACAGGAUUAGAUACCCUGGU